ACCUAGUUUCCCCUAUUGAUAAAUAACUUCUAUUAGAUGUUACUAACAUCACAUCUAAUGAACCAAUAUUGAUGAAUUGUUAUUAUUUAUACCAAUUUAAUGCAUUGCUAUUAACUGAAGUCUAUGCUUUAUUCAGAUUUCUUUAGUUUUCACCUAAUAUUCCUUGUCUGUUCCAGGCUCCCAUCUAGAAUGCCACAUCAUAUUUAACCUUUAUGUCUCUUUAGGCUCUACAGACUCUGUUUUUCAGACUUCUACUUUUUUUUUUUUUUUGACUUUGACAAUUUUUAGGAGUACUGGUCAGGUAUUUUGUAGAAUAUCCCUCGGUUAGCAUUUGUCUGAUGUUUUUCUCAUAAUAAUGUGGUUGUAACUUUUGGUGAGAGAACCACAGAAGUGCCAUUCUCUUCACAUCAUAUCAAGGGUACAUACUAUCAACAUGACUCAUCGCUGUUGAGGUUGACCUUGGUCAUCUGGCUUAGGUCAUAUUUGUCCAUUUUCUCUACAGUGAAAUUACUCUUUUUCUGUCUUUCUUUCCACACUGUGUUCUUUGGAAGAAAGUCACUAAUCAGAGACCACACUGACGAGAUCUGAUCAGAAGUCCUGGGUCAUGGAGUGCAUGUCUGAGAUAGAACUGAGGACAAUGAAUCAUCUGAGCGCCAAAGGUGUGAGCAAGAAGCCUGACAACUCUGUGGCCUCUCAACUCGGACAUUACUGUACUUUUUUGUUUGAUCGUGAUCCAGUGACACAACCUUCGGUGAUUCAGCUUUUCCAUCUUCCUGGCCCCACGUUCCAUUCAGUUUGCUGUGCAGAAGUCCCAAGAUAAACAGCUUGCUAAAAGAGAAUCAGCAUGAAUAAUUUUUUUUUUUUUUUUAAAAGAAAGACAAUGCCAAGGAACUGCUUCCAGGCUUUUGCUGAUGGCUUCACUCCUAGCUUUAGUCCCCACCCUGUGUCCUACAUUCAUUCUUGGUUUUGCUCUUAGCUCAGCUUGCUGUGGACUAUCUGCCCACCGUCGGCAGCAGAGAACCUAGCUCUACUUCAAAAGGCUAAAGGAGGGAAAUUGUCUUUGCUAUCCUCAUCAUUCUUGCAUCAGUUUUUCUCACUGAGACCUUCUUCCUCCUAAAAGACCUGCCAUUAGACCUCACCCAUCAACACUGGCAUGCAGCUCUGUGUUUCUAAACUUCAAAAAUGCACAAAUCUUUAAAAGAAAAAAAUCUCACUUCUCAAGAAAUGAUCCCAAUGACCAGUGCAAAAGAGUUGUGACUUUAUAGCUAAUAAAAAUAUUAUAUGAUUGCAAAAGUAACAUUACAACAAUGUAAAAAGAUACACAUGAGAAUUCCCGUGGGUCUAUUUUAGAAAUACCAUUACAGUUUUAAAUGUUAGUCUUUCACCUGGUAUUAAAGUUUUGACAAAGAUCAGAAUUUUAAGCAAACAGGAUGAAGCUUAGAUGAUAGGAUUUGGGGCAUCAAGUAUGUGCAGGAAGAAGCAGGGGCAAACUGGAAUUCUUUUGAACAAUUCUAGGAUAAUGUGACAUUGUUAAUUACCAAUUGUGUCUAUUUUUGAGGCUGGCCUUGACGAAAUUUCUGAUUGAAGCAAUUCAGGUAACUUUUAAAAUAAGGUCAACCUACUAAAUUGAAAGAGACCAGACAGAGAUCUCUUUACCUACCCCCAAGGAUGUGGCAAUUACAGUAUCUGUUCUCUUAAGGAAAGAGCAAAUUUGGAACUGGUUGUCAAGAUACUUGCUGUACCAAUCUGACACUUAAAUGAUUUUUAAAAAUAAUAUUUAUUUUAACCAUGAGAAAUUUGAAAAUAAUCUCCGAUAUUAUUAACCAGAAAUCAAUCUUCUCAUUUACUUUUUAAAAAUUGGCUUGGAGAUUAUUUUUUUGAAUAAUAGAGCUCAUCAUAUUUUCCAAUGUGCAUUGCAGCAGAACUAACAUGUUUUUUUUGUUGUUGGUUUUUUUUUUUUUUUUCUGUAAGCCUGCAUCCUUACAUUUACAUGUCGUUUUCAUUCUCAGGCAUAAAACUAGUUUUUUCUCCCCAUCAAACUAAUUUUUAUUAAUUGGAUUUCCACUUGCAUGCCAGGCAGAGGAAAAUGUAGAGGUGAGCACAGACAGUUAAGGUCUUCCCAUCACAGCAAAGGGAAGAGAGGCCCGAGUCAGAGAAACAAGAGUUUAGUAAGAUCAGAUCUGUUCUCAACAUAAUGACUUCUGAGCAUGUCAUCACCUGCCUGUCUGGGACCCAUGCUUAUGUCAUGACCACAUGUUUGGGAUCUGUGUACUCACACAUAUCCAGCUAUAUUUCUCAAACCUCUCCUCAUUUUAUGAUGAAAGUAAAACUUUUUGCAUUUAGGGAACUAAUAAUAUCCAGUGGCCAGGCCAAAGCCAGUUCAUUCACCUCACUCAGCAGAUGGACAUAAAUCAAUAAAGAUAAAGAAAGAGAUCAUGGCUCGGGAAGCAGCCCUGCAUGGCUUUCAAGAGCCUGAAUUGUACUUCCUAUUAUUCACAAGCCAGAGUGAAAGAGUCCACCUCCUGGGUGUUCUGCUAAAUGGACAAAUCGGCAUGGCUUCUCCCCGACUGCCAACCCACCAAGCAGCUGAGGCUCCUGAUGGUCAGCCAGCAGUGUGCCUGGCCCAUUCUGGAUGUGGGCAAGUGUUGGAUAAUUGUGGCCUUGUCCAAAUCAGAGAUGCAGAGUUCUCAUGGCAGGCCAUAGGUAAACGUGCUUUCUUUGCUGAAAAAUCCACUCUCUUCCUUGGUAUCAAGAUGAAGUUGAUAUCAGAGUGUGGGCAUCCGUGAGCACAUGGCUACUUCUCUUAGAAUAUUUACUUUUGCUUAUUAGAAUCACUUCACUUUUGAAAUCCAGUUAUUUUGGGUCCCAAAGAAACUUAUUUGUGAUCUGCACAAAUUUGGGUUUCAGAGAUGUUUUGGAUUCCAUAAACUCACCCCACCCAUCCAAAUGUAAUAAUUUACAUUUAAACAUUUUUUUUUCUCUAAGCACCUGAGAGAUAAAACAUUUUUUCUAACCACUAGUCAUUAGUAUGUAUGGGCAAUUGGAUCCACCUCUUCUUCAUUCAUUCAUAUCCGUUGUUCUUACUGCAUUAAAACAGAAUUUCGUAGGAGAAAUAUUUUAUGAGUUUGGAUUGUUUCUAACCUUUUGUUCUUACGAAUUCUCUUGCAAUAAAUAGUCUAUUACUCAUUUUAUGUUUUUGCCAGUAUAUCUUUGGGAUAGUUUUCAGAAAAAUGGUGAGUCAAAAAAUAAAGAAAAUGUAUUUUUUCCUGGUUAUUAUCAAAUUUCUGUCAAUAAGAAUGCCAUUUUGCAUUCUCCCUACCAGCUUAUGAGAGCGUCUGUUUUCCUAAUGGCAUCCAUAGUGUAUUCUGUCAAAGUUUUGAUUUUUUUUCUCAAUCUGAUAGGUGAGAAAUACUUUUUUUCUCAACCUGUAUUUCUCCUACUGAGAGUCUGAUUUAGCAUCCUUUAUAUGUUUAUGGGUCAUUGCAUUUUUUUUAUUGGUGAAAGGUCUGCUCAUAUCUCUUACUCAUUUUUCAAUCAAGUGGUUGGCCUUUUUUUCCUCAGGUGCUCUUAAUUUGUUAGGGGUAUUAAACCUUUGUCUGUGAUAUAAGGUGCAAAUAUAAUAUUUGCAAUUUGUCUUCUUACUUUGCAUGUAUUAUUUUUAGACAAAGAUUUUUAAAAUGCAGUCAAAUUGCCAUUAACUUCUUAUUGUUUAUAUGUUUUUAAAUUAUAGUAUAAAAAUUUAUAAAGGGAUUCAUUCUAAUAUUCUCCAAAGAUAUGUAUGAUUUUAUUUUUUACCUGUAGAUUACUAAUUUAUUUGGAAUUUUUCUUCAUGUAUGAUGUGAGGAAUGAAUGCAAAUUUAUCUUUUAGAUUUGGCUCUCUAGUCACCUAUCAAAAAGUUCUGCUUUCUUGCAUUUAUUUAAAAUGCCAAUUUCAUCAUUUAGUCUCAUAUUCUAAAUAUUAUAAUAUACUAAGUUUCCAGAUGCAAUUGAGUAUAUUUCUAGCUUUACUGUCCUAUUCCAUUGGUAUAUCUGAUUACUUUUCAAAUUUGAUUUUUCUCUUCCCUAACUUCUUUUUCCGUUACAGGUGCUAAAGAUUCACAAUUUUUUUUUUUAAAGGUAGGAUGUAUAAAAAAAGAGAGAGAGAGAGAGAGAAAGACCAUUACCAUUCACAUGCUAAAUAAGUGCUCAUCAAUGUAAAACUCAAUAUUGAAAGCCAUGGCAAUUUUUUAACAUCAAGUGAUCUUCACUCAGAACCUUAUGUCUAUUACUAAAUUCUGCUAUUCCUGAGAUUUUUCUCAUAUAUGAAGAAGGAACUCCUCCCCCACCCAAAAAAGAUUCAAUCAAAAUUACUCUUCACGACAAAACUCUUUCAAAAGUAAAAGUACCCAUUGGUUGCCGCUUA